rnacentral:rRNA from 1 species
CCAAUAGCGUAUAUUAAAGUUGUUGCAGUUAAAAAGCUCGUAGUUGAAUUUUGGGAUCAAUGGGUUGGUCAUGCCCUCGGUAUGUACUGAUUUCAUUAGUUCUCACCUUCUAAGGAACCAUGAUGUCAUUCGUUUGAUGUUGUGGGGAAUUAGGACUGUUACCUUGAAAAAAUUAGAGUGUUUAAAACAGGCUAACGCUUGUAUACAUUAGCAUGGAAUAAUGAAAUAGGACAUCCGAUUCUAUUUUGUUGGUUUCUAGGAUCGAUGUAAUGAUUAAUAGGGAUAGUUAGGGGCAUUAGUAUUCAAUUGUCAGAGGUGAAAUUCUUGGAUUUAUUGAAGACUAACUACUGCGAAAGCAUUUGCUAAGGAUGUUUUCAUUAAUCAAGAACGAAAGUUAGGGGAUCAAAGACGAUCAGAUACCAUCGUAAUCUUAACCAUAAACUAUGCCGACUAGGGAUCGGAUGAUGCUUAUUUUUUAAUGACUCAUUUGGCACCUUACG